AACGAACGCUGGCGGCAGGCUUAACACAUGCAAGUCGAGCGCCCCGCAAGGGGAGCGGCAGACGGGUGAGUAACGCGUGGGAAUCUACCCAUCUCUACGGAAUAACGCAUGGAAACGUAUGCUAAUACCGUAUACGUCCUUCGGGAGAAAGAUUUAUCGGAGAUGGAUGAGCCCGCGUUGGAUUAGCUAGUUGGUGGGGUAAAGGCCUACCAAGGCGACGAUCCAUAGCUGGUCUGAGAGGACGAUCAGCCACACUGGGACUGAGACACGGCCCAGACUCCUACGGGAGGCAGCAGUGGGGAAUAUUGGACAAUGGGCGCAAGCCUGAUCCAGCCAUGCCGCGUGAGUGAUGAAGGCCCUAGGGUUGUAAAGCUCUUUCACCGGUGAAGAUAAUGACGGUAACCGGAGAAGAAGCCCCGGCUAACUUCAUGCCAGCCGCCGCCGUAAUAC
rnacentral:rRNA from 1 species